AUUGAACGCUGGCGGCAGGCCUAACACAUGCAAGUCGAACGAGUGGCGGACGGGUGCGUAAUGUCUGGGAAACUGCCCGCUGGAGGGGGAUAACUACUGGAAACGGUAGCUAAUACCGCAUACCAUCGGAUGUGCCCAGAUGGGAUUAUCUAGUAGGCGGGGUAACGGCUCACCUAGUCGACGAUCCCUAGCUGGUCUGAGAGGAUGAGCAGCCACACUGGAACUGGGUCACGGUCCAGUCGCCUACGUGAGGCAGCAGUGGGGAACAUUGCACAAUGGGCGCAAGCCUGAUGCUGCCAUGCCGCGUGUAUGAAGAAGGCCUUCGGGUUUUAAAGUACUUUCAGCGAGGAGGCGUUACUCGCGGAAGAAGCACCGGCUAACUCCGUGCCAGCAGCCGCGGUAAUAC
rnacentral:rRNA from 1 species